rnacentral:lncRNA from 1 species
GCACCAAAUGAUGUGAAUAUUUUGAAAAGAGUUCAAAAAGUCAUGUAUAGUAAUGUGUCUUCUUCUAGGUCUUUAAUUAGAUGUAGUACUUAAGAGGAUUGAUUUUGCCAUCUAAAAAUGGUUAGCGGCGCAGUUUGUUACACGUUUGUCUUCAAUUCAAUUUUUUGGAUGUUAAUCUUCCAUUUUUUGUAUUUCUAAGGAUACAUGUUAGUCAAAC